AUACGAAGGUCCCAAGCGUUAUUCGGAAUCACUGGGCGUAAAGAGUACGUAGGCGGUUUGGUAAGUCAGGUGUGAAAUCCCGAAGCUCAACUUCGGAACUGCAUCCGAUACUGCCAGACUUGAGUAAUGGAGAGGCAGGUGGAAUUCUCGGUGUAGCAGUGAAAUGCGUGGAUAUCGAGAGGAAGACCAAUGGCGAAGGCAGCCUGCUGGACAUUUACUGACGCUGAGAUACGAAGGCUAGGGGAGCGAAAGGGAUUAGAAACCCCGGUAGUCC
rnacentral:rRNA from 1 species